rnacentral:tRNA from 1 species
GUGGGUGUAGCUCAGUUGGUUAGAGCACCUGAUUGUGGUUCAGGAGGUCGCGGGUUCAAAUCUCGUCACUCACCCCA